rnacentral:rRNA from 3 species
GCAUCGAUGAAGAACGCAGCGAAAUGCGAUAACUAAUGUGAAUUGCAGAAUUCAGUGAAUCAUCGAGUCUUUGAACGCACAUUGCGCCCGCUGGUAUUCCGGCGGGCAUGCCUGUCCGAGCGUCAUUU